AUAAAGGUGAUGCGCCUCUAGGUCGAUGGCACCAGCCACUGAGAUCACACAGUCAGCAGGGAAAUAGAGCUGUGGAGCUGGAUGGUCAAAACAUGGGGCCAUCGCCACCACACCCUCUCUGCACUAGACAAUCCCGACUCCCAAGACCCAGUGAAGCUUUGGAAUGCGUCUUGCUGGAGUGGCCAAGGGAGCUACUACACUGUGCUUGAAAUUGGUAUGGAGGGGACACCCAGUGAUCAUCUUCCAGAAAGAUGCACAAAACACCCAGAGCAUCUUCCAGAAAGAUGCACAAAACAACAAAGCAUCCUCACAGUAGAAUCAGCUUUAACCGACUCAUGGAGAUGCUGCAGGCAUAUCAGGAAAGUGAGAGCAGUAUAGUGGGGGGAGGGAGAGACUGCCUCCUCCUCUUUCUUCCUUUUCCUCCUA
rnacentral:lncRNA from 1 species